rnacentral:rRNA from 1 species
CUCAGAACGAACGCUGGCGGCGCGUCUUAAGCAUGCAAGUCGAACGGCAAGAGGUAGCAAUACCUCCUAGAGUGGCGGACUGGUGAGUAACACGUGGGUGACAUACCCUUCAGAUGGGGAUAGCUAUUAGAAAUAGUAGAUAAUACCGAAUACGAGCACAGGGGUUAGAGAUCUGUGAGGAAAGGAGCUAAGGCUCCGCUGAAGGAAUGGCCUGCGGCCCAUUAGCUAGUUGGUGAGGUAAGAGCCCACCAAGGCGAUGAUGGGUAUCCGGCCUUAGAGGGUGAACGGACACAUUGGGACUGAGAUACGGCCCAGACUCCUACGGGAGGCAGCAGCUAAGAAUAUUCCGCAAUGGACGAAAGUCUGACGGAGCGACGCCGCGUGGAUGAAGAAGGCCGGAAGGUUGUAAAAUCCUUUUGAAACUGAAGAAUAAGCGUUGUAGGGAAUGACAGCGUGGUGACAGUAGGUUUUGAAUAAGCAACGGCUAAUUACGUGCCAGCCGCCGC